GGACCCGCACAAGCAGUGGAGCAUGUGGUUUAAUUCGACGCAACGCGAAGAACCUUACCAGCGUUUGACAUGAGAAGUGCCGGUUACAGAAUGGUAACCUUCAGUUCGGCUGGCUUCUACACAGGUGCUGCAUGGCUGUCGUCAGCUCGUGUCGUGAGAUGUUGGUUAAGUCCCGCAACGAGCGCAACCCUUAUCGUUAGUUACUAACAGUUCGGCUGAGGACUCUAGCGAAACUGCCGGUGAUAAGCCGGAGGAAGGUGGGGAUGACGUCAAGUCCUCAUGGCCCUUACACGCUGGGCUACACACGUGCUACAAUGGCCGGUACAGAGGGCAGCCACACCGCAAGGUGGAGCG
rnacentral:rRNA from 1 species